rnacentral:sRNA from 12 species
AGGCGGUGAAGCAGUGGGCUGAGUCGGUUACAGUCGAUUGUGGAGCCAGACUGUGGGUUAUGCGGAUACCACAAGCCGAAUAGGCGACGGAAAUGCUGCUGAAAUAAAACGCUAAAA